ensembl:lncRNA
UCAUGAACAAACCGCAUUGGCAAGAAGAUUGGCAUCCUCCACUCUGCAUCUUAUGUUGACACAAGGGUUGGUUUUGGGGGCUAUUGGCGACACCGAGACACCGGAUCCCUGUUUUUUUUCUAACGAUCCAUUGACUUGACUUUCCGGACACGUGUUGACUUCUCACGCAUGGUUCUGUUUCCUCUGAGUGUAUUCAGUAAACGUGUGAAGCUUUGGAGACCCAGACUGACCACCCCGCUGGCCUUCAGCAUCAGCAGCUAACACCCCCCCCCCCCCCACACUUGUGCCUCCUCAUCAGGGAUUCUGAUAGAAACAGAAGACGGAGACACACAGAUGCAAACACAUAGCACCCACCAAGCACACAAACACAGUUUGAUUAUAAUUGGGUGACCCACAGCCACUGAUAUCAUCUGUUAUGGUGUGAGACCACCAUCUCACCCGGAGCGGCCCUCCGCCUCCGACGAAGACUUGAGGAGCGAAGGAAGGGUAAAGAAAAGACAAAUAGAAGACAAACUGGCCUGGGAAGGAAGGAGAAGAGCAGGAAGAGCACAACAACGACAAAAAAAAGGACACAAAGUGGCGCCGAGUUCAUUAAUUAGAAUUUCAAAUUGGACAAACUCAAGAUGACAGCGUUGCGCUUGUCAAAUCAGAUCAUGCCCCGGCGGGGUGAGAGAGAGGGAAGAGAGGGAAGGAGGCACACUGCUCAGAGCCAAACACCACUCUUAGUAGCUGAAUGGGUGCCAUCUCUCUCUCUCUCUCUCUCUCUCUCUCCCUCUUCGUCUCUCUCUCCUCCCCUCUCCGUCUUUCUCUCCAUUUCCUCUGAUUACGCCGACCGCCCUUCCCUCUGUCCCCCGCGUGAAUGUCAAGGCCGCCUUAACAAGAAGUGACAAUUAAAACAUCAUCGGCGUCCUCUGGCUCAAUGGGAGCGGCGUGUCGGGGUCCCUGCUUCCUGGGGGGGGAGAGAAAGAAUAAAAGUGAUGGAGGAGCUGGAGGGAAGAAUACUACGAGCUGGGAGGAAAGGAGGGAGAUGUAUCAUUUGGCAAAUAUGUAGCCUACCGGACAAUUGGGCUAAUAAAGAUUGAUAAAUUGAACUGGUGUACAUUUAUAUAUGUUUGGAUGUGCAUGUAUGAGAGAUGGAACAAAGAAAACAACCAUGUAAGACAC